rnacentral:tRNA from 1 species
GGGUUGCUAACUCAACGGUAGAGUACUCGGCUUUUAAAUCCGACUAGUUCCGGGUUCGAAUCCCGGGCAACCCACC